rnacentral:rRNA from 1 species
UACGUAGGGUGCGAGCGUUGUCCGGAAUUACUGGGCGUAAAGAGCUCGUAGGCGGUUUGUCGCGUCGUCCGUGAAAACUUGGGGCUCAACCCCAAGCUUGCGGGCGAUACGGGCAGACUUGAGUACUGCAGGGGAGACUGGAAUUCCUGGUGUAGCGGUGAAAUGCGCAGAUAUCAGGAGGAACACCGGUGGCGAAGGCGGAUCUCUGGGCCUUACCUGACGCUCAGGUGCGAAAGCUAGGGGAGCGAACAGG